GAUGAACGCUGGCGGCGUGCUUAACACAUGCAAGUCGAACGAAGCACUUUAUUUGAUUUCCUUCGGGACUGAUUAUUUUGUGACUGAGUGGCGGACGGGUGAGUAACGCGUGGGUAACCUGCCUUGUACAGGGGGAUAACAGUUGGAAACGGCUGCUAAUACCGCAUAAGCGCACAGCAUCGCAUGAUGCAGUGUGAAAAACUCCGGUGGUAUAAGAUGGACCCGCGUUGGAUUAGCUAGUUGGUGAGGUAACGGCCCACCAAGGCGACGAUCCAUAGCCGACCUGAGAGGGUGACCGGCCACAUUGGGACUGAGACACGGCCCAAACUCCUAAGGGAGGCAGCAGUGGGGAAUAUUGCACAAUGGGCGAAAGCCUGAUGCAGCGACGCCGCGUGAGCGAAGAAGUAUUUCGGUAUGUAAAGCUCUAUCAGCAGGGAAGAUAAUGACGGUACCUGACGAAGAAGCACCGGCUAAAUACGUG
rnacentral:rRNA from 1 species